GGAAUAUUGCGCAAUGGGCGAAAGCCUGACGCAGCAACGCCGCGUGGAGGAUGAAGGCCUUCGGGUUGUAAACUCCUGUCAGAGGGGACGAAAAGGUAGGGUCAAAUAGGCCUUGGCGUUGACGGUACCCUCAGAGGAAGCCCCGGCUAACUCCGUGCCAGCAGCCGCGGUAAUACGGAGGGGGCAAGCGUUAUUCGGAAUUAUUGGGCGUAAAGCGCGCGUAGGCGGCUUGACAAGUCAAAGGUGAAAUCCCUCGGCUCAACCGAGGAACUGCCUUUGAAACUGUCUCGCUAGAGGCCGGGAGGGGGUAGCGGAAUUCCCAGUGUAGCGGUGAAAUGCGUAGAUAUUGGGAGGAACACCGGUGGCGAAGGCGGCUACCUGGACCGGUUCUGACGCUGAGGCGCGAAAGCGUGGGGAGCAAACA
rnacentral:rRNA from 1 species